GACGAACGCUGGCGGCGUGCUUAACACAUGCAAGUCGAACGGAAAGGCCCUGCUUUUGUGGGGUGCUCGAGUGGCGAACGGGUGAGUAACACGUGAGUAACCUGCCCUUGACUUUGUGAUAACUUCAGGAAACUGGGGCUAUUACCGGAGAGGAUCUCCUGCUGCAUGUGGGGGGUUGGAAAGUUUCGGCGGUUGGGGAUGGACUCGCGGCUUAUCAGCUGGUUUGUGGGGUAGUGGCGUACCAAGGCUUUGACGGGUAGGCGGCAUGGGAGGGUUACCGGCGACCAUGGGCCUGCGGUACGGAGCAGUCUCCUACGGGAGGCAGAGGUGGGGAAUAUGGCACAGCGGGCGGAAGUCAGAUGUAGCAACGCUGCGAGCGUGAUGACGGGCUUCGGGUUGAAAACAGAUUUGGACUGAGCUGAAGAGAGAGUGACGGUAAUGAGUCAAGAAGCCCCGGCUAACUACGUG
rnacentral:rRNA from 1 species